rnacentral:rRNA from 1 species
AAUGAACGCUGGCGGCGUGCCUAACACAUGCAAGUCGGAUGUGCCCGCAAGGGUGCAUGGCAGACGGGUGAGUAACGCGUGGGGAACCUACCUCUUUGUGGGGAAUAACGUUCCGAAAGGAAUGGUAAUACCGCAUGAGACCUUCGGCUGGGAUGCUGGAGGUGAAACCCGGGGACCGUAAGGCCUGGGGCAAGGAGAGGGUCCUGCGUCUGAUUAGCUAGUUGGCGGGGUAAUGGCCCACCAAGGCGACGAUCAGUAGCCGGCCUGAGAGGGUGAUCGGCCACACUGGAACUGAGACACGGUCCAGACUCCUACGGGAGGCAGCAGUGGGGAAUUUUGCGCAAUGGACGAAAGUCUGACGCAGCAACGCCGCGUGGGUGAUGAAGGUCUUCGGAUUGUAAAACCCUGUCGUCAGGGACGAAGGUUGGGGCUUUAAUAGAGUUUCAACUUGACGGUACCUGGAGAGGAAGCCCCGGCUAACUCUGUGCCAGCAGCCGCGGUAAAACGUCUA